rnacentral:lncRNA from 1 species
CUCCUUUAGGUUUUCUUUACUUUGGGAAGUUCUCUCCAAAGUUACUCAGCUCUUUCCCAAGUUUCUGAUUACUUUUUUUUUUUUUUUUUUAACACACCUGCUAGGUCUGAGGGUUCUAGUACCUCCACAGGAAAAGCUGCCCAGCAAUUUAGUCUCUGUCUCAUACAUAGGAAGAAAACCCCUUUUGGGGAGCAGUCCAAACCACAGCUCAGCUGAAGUAAGUGAUUUUAGAUUGCCCCUAUAAUAAAAACUCUUAAGCUCCUAUCAGAGACUGAUGCGGCUGCUGGUGUGCAUUCACGAAGUCCUAGGGAAAUUCCUCCUCAUCAAAAGUCUGCAUUGACUUUUAUUUACCAAAUAACAUUAGAUGCAACAUCGGGGUCAGAACGUAGUUCCAAGUGGCUUCAGGAUGACAGAGUACCUGGUGAUCACUAGGAUUUGCUUAAUAUUGCAAAGGCAAGGGGAUUGGAAGAUGAAGAUCUGGUUAUGUGGUCAGGCUUCCUCACAAAGCAAGAUCUCCUUCUCUUACACUGGUAUACUGUAAAUUGCUGGGGAAUUGCUGGGAAGGAUGACAGCGUUUUGUCACAGUUGUGAUUAAAAGACUGAAUCCUUAGGGCCCCUUUAAAUUGCCUCUCCUGUUGUCCUAAUUCAAGUAGAAUUUCAUUGUUUUCAAUGCGUGGGAGGAUUCAGGUGGAAAUGCUAGCAAGUUUCUGUUCUGUCCCAAAGAGGUAUAAAUGUGCUUCUAAAAAUGCUGUUAAAACGCAUUACGAAGGAAAGCCUUUAAUUUUAUACAAAUGGCUUGAGCAGGAAUAUGUCAUAAUUGCAAGUGAGUCGCAUGCAGUCUUUCUAGGACUUUUGCGUGUCCUGUUGGAGGUAAAUAUGGUUGUGGUUAAUGCUAGUGUUUUCUUGAGGCAUGUGACAGUUCCCUCUUUCCUCUGCCACCUUCUCUGCUGUCAGUGGGGCUUCAAACAAUCCAAGUUCCCACAUGAGAAAGAGGAAAAAAUAGAGCUGGGCUCUGGCUGCACAGCUCCAGAGUGCUGUGGGAACAAAGAGGCAGGCCUGCUGGCAGGGAGGGUGGGAAGGCAGCCAGCACAGGCAGGAGAAGGGCAAGAAGGUGGGGGAAGGGGCACGGGCGAUGAGGGGAAGGAGAGCAAAGAGAGGGGAAGCCUGGUAGGAGCAACUCCUUUGUUCAGAGGGGAGAACAAAGGGGAUGGGGAGAAGAUGGAAGCAGCAUACCUUUCAGCUUAGAAAAAAGUUGGUACUCAUAUCCACUCCCAGUCAGCAGCCACGAAGGGAUAACAUAGAUGCACAGAGAGAACUGAUUAACAUAUGCAAAGAAAUAAGCUUCUUUUUCCCUGGUUGUGUCAAAUAAAAUUGACUCUUUUUUUUCCCCUUCUUUUGCC